AGGGAUCCAGGCCGGACGGAAUUAUUCCGGCAUGAACUACCNCCACGGAGCAGGCUAACCCAAUCNCAGGGGGGUGUCAAUAAAACGUGGGGCUAGUCUUGCAAGGAAUGAGAACACGAUAAUGGUUAACGGGCAAAAGAGGGCAANUCUGUGCAGCAGCCGCGUAAUUCCAGCUCUUUAGGUAUAUAAAUUUGUCGCAGUUAAAAAGCUGUAGUUGAUAGUCGGGGGACGGAACUUUUAUUGAGGUUUCCUGAACNUAGGUCGUAUAUUUGACAGACUUUGAGAAAAUUAGAGCGCUUAANGCAGUCAUGAAUACGUUAGCAUGGAAUCAAUAGGACGAUUUCUUUGAUAAUGAUUAAAAGGACAGUCGGGGCAUCAGUAUUCAGGAGCUAGAGUGAAAUUUUGAUUCCUGAAGACUAAUAGUGCGAAAGCAUUUGCCAGGAUGUCUUCAUUAAUCAAGAACGAAAGUUAGGGGAUCGAAGACGAUCAGANACCGUCGUAGUCUUAACAGUAAACUAUGCCGAUAGAGUGGAGGAUGGACUAUUUAAUCUAUUCUCCGCUCAAGCGAAAGCAGUUGGUUCUGGGGGGAGUAGGUCGCAAGGCUGAAACUUAAAGGAAUUGACGGAAGGGCACCACCAGGAGUGGAGCCUGCGGCUUAAUUUGACUCAACACGGGGAAACUCACCAGGUCCAGACACAAUGAGGAUUGACAGAUUGAGAGCUCUUUCAGAUUUUGUGGGUGGUGGUGCUGGCCGUUCUUAGUUGGUGGAGUGAUUUGUCUGCUUAAUUGCGAUAACGGACGAGUUUUGGCGAGCAGUUGGUGAAGUUACAUUUUGUAGCGGAUCCGUCUACUCGGACAG
rnacentral:rRNA from 1 species